rnacentral:rRNA from 1 species
ACGAACGCUGGCGGCGUGCCUAACACAUGCAAGUCGAACGGAGAUCAAAGAGCUUGCUCUGGGAUCUUAGUGGCGGACUGGUGAGUAACGCGUGAGCAACCUGCCCUAAAGUGGGGAAUAACUCAGGGAAACCUGAGCUAAUACCGCAUGACGCAUAGAGGUGGCAUCACUUUUAUGUCAAAGAUUUAUCGCUUUGGGAUGGGCUCGCGUCCGAUUAGAUAGUUGGUGAGGUAACGGCUCACCAAGUCGACGAUCGGUAGCCGGACUGAGAGGUUGAACGGCCACAUUGGGACUGAGAUACGGCCCAGACUCCUACGGGAGGCAGCAGUGGGGGAUAUUGCACAAUGGAGGAAACUCUGAUGCAGCAACGCCGCGUGAAGGAAGAAGGUCUUCGGAUUGUAAACUUUUGUCUUCGGGGACGAUAAUGACGGUACCCGAGGAGGAAGCCACGGCUAACUACGUGCCAGCAGCCGCGGUAAUACGUAGGUGGCGAGCGUUGUCCGGAAUUACUGGGUGUAAAGGGUGCGUAGGCGGGCAGACAAGUCAGGUGUGAAAUCCCACGGCUCAACUGUGGGGGUGCACUUGAAACUGUAGGCCUUGAGUGCNNGAGAGGUAAGCGGAAUUCCCGGUGUAGCGGUGAAAUGNNNAGAUAUCGGGAGGAACACCAGUGGCGAAGGCGGCUUACUGGACUGUAACUGACGCUGAUGCACGAAAGCGUGGGGAUCAAACAGGAUUAGAUACCCUGGUAGUCCACGCUGUAAACGAUGGAUACUAGGUGUAGGGGGUAUCGACCCCCCCUGUGCCGGAGUUAACACAAUAAGUAUCCCACCUGGGGAGUACGGCCGCAAGGCUGAAACUCAAAGGAAUUGACGGGGGCCCGCACAAGCAGUGGAGUAUGUGGUUUAAUUCGAAGCAACGCGAAGAACCUUACCAGGGCUUGACAUCCCAUGAACCCUUCAGAGAUGAGGGGGUGCCCUUCGGGGAGCAUGGAGACAGGUGGUGCAUGGUUGUCGUCAGCUCGUGUCGUGAGAUGUUGGGUUAAGUCCCGCAACGAGCGCAACCCCUAUGGUUAGUUGCUACGCAAGAGCACUCUAGCCAGACUGCCGUUGACAAAACGGAGGAAGGUGGGGACGACGUCAAAUCAUCAUGCCCCUUAUGUCCUGGGCUACACACGUACUACAAUGGCGAUUAACAGAGGGAAGCAAGACAGCGAUGUGGAGCAAAUCCCUAAAAGUCGUCUCAGUUCGGAUUGCAGGCUGCAACCCGCCUGUAUGAAGUCGGAAUUGCUAGUAAUCGCGGAUCAGCAUGCCGCGGUGAAUACGUUCCCGGGCCU